UACCUACUACUUCUUCAUCUUAACCACGAACGAUUUUCAUUUCGUCCGUAUGAACUUCAUGCGUUAAUGCAGGUACCGGUCGGUAAAGAACAACCACUUAUGAAACUACUCACGUCGAGGUCAACAGCGUUCAAUGUACUUAUAACGUACCUAGUUUACAGUUGUCCAGAAAUACCAAACGAUCAGGUGAAGUUGUCUCUAGUAAAGGCUGUGUUACGAUCAAGUAAGCUACACUCAAAGUUCCUGAAUGUAGAGAAGAAGUUGAAGUUGCUCGAACUACGGUGAGAACAAUCUACGGACUAAAACCCUAACAUGCGUGCCUCUUCUUUUUCCCUCUUACACAUAAAGUAUCUAGGACGUAAUCGUUUACCGUGUUGUAAUGUACCAUUCCUGCUUGUCCUGACCCGGCAAUUGUGCCAGCAGGCAUAGAAGUUUUUGUGCAGGGUACGUCUUAGUAAAGAGACCGGUAUAGUACUUUCCAAGUACCUAAAGAAUUAUACAUAGGUAGUGACCUAUAACCAUAAGUAACAAGGUUUGUUCUUGUGUCAAAUGAUGUAGCUAAGAGAGUCACUCAGUUGUUUGCGAGUCCUAGACUGCGUAGAAGUCGUUAAGUACCUAUCACACGAGCGUAACACCUUUUGAUUUGAUCCCUUGGACAAGUUCUCCCUUGAUGGAGACGUCGUGUUCUAGCAAAGAGGCACAGGAGUCGUUCUUCGUCCCUCGUUGGAAACACCUAUGAUACAAACAUCUGUGUACUAGAGGUAGACGUUUAAACGACUAUCAACACUAGUAGGAACGCUUAAUCAUGGUGAGUAGAAUCUUGGCUCCUGGGGACUUAGCGAGGGCCGACCAUUUAACAACUACUAAACCUCUAAAUAGUCACUGAAGAAGGACUUAAUGAUGUAGUUAGGGUGACCACUAUUACUUCUAAAGUCGUACGGAAAAGGACUUUGUUACUCUUUACACACCCUAGGGUUUGCUUUUCGUGUGCAGUGAGAUCGGUGUUGGCAGCCACUAUGUGUUGUUUAGUGUUUGCCAGACGUCGUGAACAUACACACGCUUCCCCGAGGACUUGGUAAACACUAACUUGGAAUAGCGUCUACAAGUAUACUACCGGGCACACGGAACGUAUUACAAAGGGUUUACGACGGUUGACGCGAUCGACCAUGAUCAUGUCUCAGUCGCGAGUGGCCUCGUCGAGUAACCCUGUCAACCUUUAGUGCACUGGGAGAGCCGGGUGUACAGUCCAACACCCGAAAAGGAAAACGUUUCGUGACCGGCUCGGACGGGGUCUAGGUCUGGCGCAGGGAACGAGGAGAGAGGUAGAACAGAAGGAGGAAGUCUAGGUAUGCGCCGCGCAGGACGAGGAGAGAGGUCGAGCGGACGAGAUACCUGCACAAGUACGUUCGCGUCCGGCUACGCCUUCUGUCCUAAUUGGUACCCGUCAACCCACCACAACGACGCCGCGCCGGACAACUUAAACUUAGGGUCCGAAGAUAGUCGUAGCGGCUCCGGGCUCCCCCUGUAAACGGCACGGCCUCUGGUUACGUCGCCGCUCAUUCCUAGUCCUUUCGAGGACGUCUCGUACUCGAGUUGGGAUGGGCCUUUUCACGGGAACUUGAUAGGUACUCCCACAAGUAUUGUUUUGCUCUACCGUUACAACAGUUGGGUCGACAGCCUUGUAGGAAGCUAAUU
rnacentral:rRNA from 1 species